UUUCCAGUUCCAAGAUGGUCGAAUAGGAACAGCUCCAGUCUGCAGCUCCCAGCAUGAUUGACACAGAAGACGGUGAUUUCUGCAUUUCCAACUGAGAAUUGUGUGACAAUGACUUUUGGACAUUUGUUCUUUCGGCUUUGGAAUAUUUACACAAGAAUGGAGAAGGAACAUCCAACUGGAGCAUAAUUGUCAAGGCAAUAGAGAAUUUAGAGAAAUAAA
ensembl:lncRNA novel transcript, sense overlapping HTR1A